UGGGGAAUAUUGGACAAUGGGCGCAAGCCUGAUCCAGCCAUGCCGCGUGGGUGAUGAAGGCCCUAGGGUUGUAAAGCCCUUUCGGCGGGGAAGAUAAUGACGGUACCCGCAGAAGAAGCCCCGGCUAACUUCGUGCCAGCAGCCGCGGUAAUACGAAGGGGGCUAGCGUUGCUCGGAAUCACUGGGCGUAAAGCGCACGUAGGCGGAUUGCUAAGUCAGGGGUGAAAUCCUGGAGCUCAACUCCAGAACUGCCUUUGAUACUGGUGAUCUUGAGUCCGGGAGAGGUGAGUGGAACUGCGAGUGUAGAGGUGAAAUUCGUAGAUAUUCGCAAGAACACCAGUGGCGAAGGCGGCUCACUGGCCCGGUACUGACGCUGAGGUGCGAAAGCGUGGGGAGCAAACAGG
rnacentral:rRNA from 1 species